rnacentral:lncRNA from 1 species
AUGAUACUUCAUUCAGGGCAUAUCAUCAUCCCCAAAGCGUCUCACCAGUUCAUGAGCCUUCAAGGAUGGCUAUGUUGUAGCAUACCUGUGUCUUGCAGACAGGUGUUUGAAACCAGAGACCUGCAUAAAUACAUGGUGGAGGGCAUUUCAAGAAGAAAUGGUUCCAAGAAGGUGGUUACCCACCUUACUAUGGAGGUCACGAAGCUAUAGGUCUAAGACAUAAAUAUAUCAGAAGACGUGGAUCUCACUGAAUGCAUGUUCAGUUCUCCCAACAUCACCUGCUGGGAAAGCUGAAACAUCUGGAACUGAAACAACCUCCUGUGACUGAAGGUAUACUUUAUGAGGAAGUAUAUGCUCUUGGAUUUAGUUCUGUCUCUUUGUUUCCAGGUCAGGCAGAUAAGUAGACCUAUCAGUGAGAAAAAUAGAAUUAGCAAGAUAACACGGAUAUCUGACUCUACCUAAUCAGCUGUCAGUACGGGGUGAUAUAAGGUAGUCAAGCAGGCAUGUUGUCAUUUACCCAUAGGCAAGUGUUAAGAUUUCCAGAAAGCAAACAGUGCUGCAGAGGUCUGCUGGGGCUAUCACUGUGAUACAUGAGUUGAGAGACCAAUAUACUCAUAAAUAUGACAACUGGACAUAUUUAUACUUAUUAAGUAAGCCUUGAUCAAUCAAAAAAGGAGGUUAACAGACAUCUGUGGCUGAUGUCUCAUGUUUUAGUGUCUGGAGAAGCUAAGGUGAUCCAGCAAUCAUGUAUAUACAACGUGAGUGAUCUGAGGCUUUUUCCUUCCACUUAUAGUCCACUUAUGGGGUGCCUGUGCCUACCAGUGAUUUUUUUUCUGGGGUCAUUAGGCAUUUAAUGGCAGGCUAGCUGGGAAGACAGUUUAGCUACUUACUUGUUGGGAUAACUAGCCUAACAGUUGAUGACUGAUGGUGGAAAAUGUUUAGCUGGAAAUGGGAAAAAAUGUCACCGCUCAUACACCUGUGUUUGAAUGUCAGCAUGCACAGUGAUGUUUUUAUUAUGGGUAUCUGGUAAGAAGAUAUCUUAAAGGAAACUCCACCCAGGACAAGGCAAUUUCUGAUUGGAAAUUAUACUGUUGCUGUACAUAUUCUCUUUUUCCAGUGGUUGCAUGUGUGUGGAGAAAAACAUUAUAGCCAAGGUGUAUUUUUGUUCCAGUGCUGCACUGACAAGCUCCUUUCCCACCACUGCUGUUUGUGUGACAACAUGGAGGAGAGCCCAACAAGGAAAGUGAUAAUGUUUCAUUUAAAUCAGUUGGAAUCAAGUUCAAUUGUCAGACUUUAAUCACAGGUUACAGUAGUACCAUCAAAUGUCACCACAGUCAGUUAUUCAGAGAAGGGACAUAAUUGUGACAUUCUUUGGUUUGGCUCAAAGCUCUCUCCUUCCUUCUCUUUCUCUCAUUGUUUGUUGUUAUUGUUGUUGUUUUUUGCUCUCCCCUCCCUCCCCCCCCUACUCAAUUUCAUUCUUAACUUUCCUUUUCAGGAAAUCAGAGGGAUUUCCAUUAUGAAGUAGCACUGGGGAUCCUUUUCCCUUUCUGCUCUUCACCAUUUCUUGAGAUAUUUUCUUGUACUCUGUUACAUUCUAGUUAAGAUGGGAACUGAGAUGCUUUGCCACAGACAUGCAUUUGUGAUGUCUUAUCUUUGCCUUACAGUUCCACAAUUAGCUGAAAUGGGCAAUAUCAGAGACUCUACAAUUGCUAUGAAAUUAAUGUCUUGAUGAUCUCUUUUGCUGUUUUAAAGAUAGGACCAGAGUGAAAGAAAAAUCACCGCUACAAUAUUUCCAUCUUUGCUUUUGCAGCAGAUGUAUUUUCAUUCCCACACAUUGUUCAUAACAGACAAUGUCUCCAUGUGUAGUAUCAAUUGCAAGUUUAAGAGUUUUUGCCUUCCUGCAAACUCUUUAAUGACAAGGGGGUUGAAGGGAAGAAUGGAGGAACAACUGAAGUGGAAAAUCCUCCUACUUUCAAUUGAAGAAAAUCUCAUUUGAAAGCACAUAGCAGCCUCCAUAAUAGGAAACAGAUUAAUUAUAAGACUAUAACAUGAAACUACUGCAGUAAGAGCCCUUGUGCUAGGCACAAAAGGUAGCAUCUCUAUCCUGUUCACUCACUAAUCUAGAGACUCCUCCAUGCUCCCUUUGGGUUCUGUCUUGAACACGUCUUGAGAUUUCUGUCCAAAAUUUCACUGAGCUUCUUUCUAGCCUUUGGCCCAAAAGAUAACUGCUAUGAAUACUGUUUGGUAUCAAUAAUUAAUCUCAAAAGUAUAAGAGGAGAGAGAGUAGUGCAGAGAACUCUGUUUUUCAGAGAAAGGGAAGAUAUUACGGUGAAAUCACAGUCUUGAAUUUGGACUUGAACUGCAAGUAUGUAUUCAUCAGGUUUGUUAUUGGCUUUGUGCCCUAAAGCUCAAAUUAAUGAAAAAUUCCUUUCUCUGAAAUUUGGAGAGGACCUUGAUCUGAUUUCAAGAAUGAUAUCCUAUUAUACUUCUGAAUAACCUCACAACUAGGGAUAAUUCCACCUCCCAGAUAUUUGCUACGUGCCUACGAUAAUCUGAAUUUCCUAGAAUAUAGAUACUACAUUAAAAGCAAACUGUUAUGCUGAAAGUGUUGGUUUUCUUUUAUUUUUGCCUGAAAAUUUUGUUCAUUUUAGUCUACUUGGCAUGGAUGUUAAAUUUCCAGCCUCCAGAAUGAAGCAUUUAUUAGAAUUGCAAUUGAGUUAUUUUAACUUUGAAAGGAAUUUAGUAGACUGCAAAAAUUGCCUUUCUCCUAAAGUAGGGCCAAAGAUGGCACUGUCAUUCAUAUUCGGGUAUAUUUCCUGCUGAAAUUAAAGAGUGUUUUACUUGUGAAAGUACUGAAGUAUAUGCACAGGUUCUGGCAAAAUGACAGCAUUACAGGCUGUUGGUUUAAACUGCCUGAAAGGGAAUUAAGGAUAAAGUCUCCAUGCCCACACCUUAUGUGGGAUGCAAGUAUGCUGUCCUGGUAACAUUUUUCUCCCCAUAGAUCAGUUUUUAUGGUCAGAUAACUCAUCAAAUAGCAUUUUGUCAUGAAAUCACUUGACUUGUAUUUCACUGAGGACUGCAAUAAUUUUUAAAUCGUACUGGCUGCAUUUUCAGAUUUGUCCAGAUGCUGCCAUGUCUUGUAUUUGAAAAGUCUCUGGCACAAAGAACUCCUGUGUGCUGUUAUUUUUAGAAACACCAAGUCAACAAAACUUAAGCUUCUAUUUUGAAAAAAAUAAUAAUAAUAAAAAAAAUUUUUUAAAAAUGAUAGGCA